rnacentral:rRNA from 1 species
AUUGAACGCUGGCGGCAGGCUUAACACAUGCAAGUCGAGCGGAGAGAGGUAGCUUGCUACUGAUCUUAGCGGCGGACGGGUGAGUAAUGCUUAGGAAUCUGCCUAUUAGUGGGGGACAACAUUUCGAAAGGAAUGCUAAUACCGCAUACGUCCUACGGGAGAAAGCAGGGGAUCUUCGGACCUUGCGCUAAUAGAUGAGCCUAAGUCGGAUUAGCUAGUUGGUGGGGUAAAGGCCUACCAAGGCGACGAUCUGUAGCGGGUCUGAGAGGAUGAUCCGCCACACUGGGACUGAGACACGGCCCAGACUCCUACGGGAGGCAGCAGUGGGGAAUAUUGGACAAUGGGCGCAAGCCUGAUCCAGCCAUGCCGCGUGUGUGAAGAAGGUCUCCGGAUUGUAAAGCACUUUAAGUUGGGAGGAAGGGCAGUAAGUUAAUACCUUGCUGUUUUGACGUUACCAACAGAAUAAGCACCGGCUAACUUCGUGCCAGCAGCCGCAGUAAUAC